rnacentral:rRNA from 1 species
UGGGGAAUCUUAGACAAUGGGGGAAACCCUGAUCUAGCCAUGCCGCGUGAUCGAUGAAGGCCUUAGGGUUGUAAAGAUCUUUCAGUGGGGAAGAUAAUGACUGUACCCACAGAAGAAGCCCCGGCUAACUCCGUGCCAGCAGCCGCGGUAAUACGGAGGGGGCUAGCGUUGUUCGGAAUUACUGGGCGUAAAGCGCACGUAGGCGGAACAGAAAGUCAGAGGUGAAAUCCCAGGGCUCAACCUUGGAACUGCCUUUGAAACUCCUGUUCUUGAGGUCGAGAGAGGUGAGUGGAAUUCCGAGUGUAGAGGUGAAAUUCGUAGAUAUUCGGAGGAACACCAGUGGCGAAGGCGGCUCACUGGCUCGAUACUGACGCUGAGGUGCGAAAGCGUGGGGAGCAAACA